rnacentral:lncRNA from 1 species
UCAGGUUUUAUAGUCUUUGCUCUGGACAAAUUGUGUGCAAGGUACAACAUUUAGAAUAAUAGUAGCAGCUUUAUUCCUCUCCUUUUUAACUUUCUCAAAAUAAGCUGAAAACAUGAGCAACAAACUCCACCAUGGACAGAAAACCUGUUUUUAAUUUAAAAAAAAAAUAAAAUUAUUUUGAGUAUUGAAAUGUAACUAAAAAGGGCAGAAUAAAUAUAGAGGAUAAAAACAGCUCAUCAUUUGGACGACAAAUUAUGGAGUUUUACUUAUGAAACAGGACCUCACCAGGAAGAGAGAAGUUCACAAUAAUCGGAGAUCUCCAAAAUUUUGGCUAUUGUAACAGUGAUGUUCGUGCCUAUCUUGCGGCCCUAUCCAUCGUGCAGGUUUAAUCACCAAUACUGUCUAGUCAUUCAUAUAGAG